AACGCACCUUGCGCUCCCUGGUAUUCCGGGGAGCACACCUGUUCGAGUGUCAUGAAACUCUCAAACAAGAUAGAUUUGUUUCUAUCUCUGUUUGGAUUUGGGCUUUGCUGUGUCAAUGCGGCUGGUCUUAAACAUAUUAGCUGAUCCUAGUGAAGGGUCUGGUUCUACUCAGCAUGAUAAUUAUCUGAUGUUGAGGACGGUCUCAGGACUGGCCAGGCUUUCUGUGGAUUGCUUCUAAUCGUCUUUGGACAAAUUACUCAGUGUUUGGCCUCGAAUCAGGUGGGACUACCCGCUGAACUUAA
rnacentral:misc_RNA from 3 species